rnacentral:piRNA from 1 species
UGCCCUGACUAUUGCCGAAAUGUGCUC